rnacentral:rRNA from 1 species
GGGCCCGCACAAGCAGUGGAGUAUGUGGUUUAAUUCGAAGCAACGCGAAGAACCUUACCAGGUCUUGACAUCUACCUAAUCCUUCAGAGAUGAGGGAGUGCCUUUCGGGGAAAGGUAAGACAGGUGGUGCAUGGUUGUCGUCAGCUCGUGUCGUGAGAUGUUGGGUUAAGUCCCGCAACGAGCGCAACCCUUGUGAUUAGUUGCUACGUUAAGAGCACUCUAAUCAGACUGCCGUUGACAAAACGGAGGAAGGUGGGGACGACGUCAAAUCAUCAUGCCCCUUAUGACCUGGGCUACACACGUACUACAAUGGCCGUUAACAACGGGAAGCGAAGCCGCGAGGUGGAGCAAAACCCCAAAAACGGUCUCAGUUCGGAUCGCAGGCUGAAACCCGCCUGCGUGAAGCUGGAAUUGCUAGUAAUCGCGGAUCAUCAUGCCGCGGUGAAUACGUUCCCGGGCCUU